AGAGAGAGAGAGAGAAGAAGAGAUGUAGUUCUGGAGUAAUUUCCAAGAGAGGGGCUUUGGAUAAUGGAAUGAUUUUGUUUCAGUCAGUCAAAGCCACCAGCCCAAGAAAACCGUGGUUGAGUCAUCCAAAGCAUUUUGACUGGUCUAUCUAGUCAGUACAGCAGCCGUCGUCGCCGCCGCCACCGCCGGCUAAGAAAGAAAGGAAGAAAGAAUAUGUGAAAUGAAAUGGGAGUGAGAAAGGACUCGGACUUGAAGUUUUGUUUGUCAUAAGGAACUGAAGACACAGUUGUUAUAUACGAGAAAAUAUUUCUUCAUUCAUGAGAUGAUAAAUUAGUUAUAUGCCAAGUGUUUGUUGUCUUCUAUGACUA